CCCAGAGGCUCUGUGCUGCCACCAGGCCCUGCCAGGGAGACGGAGUGGCUCUGCUGCCCUCCCUCCAGCGAGACCACCGCGUUGCCCCAUGUGAUUCUUCUGGCCCUGCUGCUCUCCCUCCAGGCAGACCACCGCCUUGCCCCACGUGACUCUUUCUGCCGCCUCCCUGCUUCAGCCAGAGCCACGCCAUAGACAAGCACGUCUCCCGGUUGGCGGCCCGCUCGUUUCCUCCGGUGCAGUCGCCUCUGCUCUGACGCGCAGCGCGCCGUGGUCCUCGGCUCUCGCCACUGGCACUAGGGCCGUAGCCUCUCAAAGCUCCGGGUCAAGAACACCACGGACGCCAGGUUUGACCCGUAUAAAAGGUCUGGCCACGUGUGAAGAGAGCUGAACUGGACGAAUGCCCCAGAUAGAGUUCAAUCUGAAAAUGAGAAGCACUAGCCGCUGAGAUGCCCAGCAGUUCCUGCUCUUCCUAAUCGCUGUGUCCAGGUCAUUCUUUA